UACGUAGGGUGCGAGCGUUGUCCGGAAUUAUUGGGCGUAAAGGGCUCGUAGGCGGUCUGUUGCGUCAGGAGUGAAAAUUCGGGGCUUAACCCCGAGCCUGCUUCUGAUACGGGCAGACUAGAGGUAUGCAGGGGAGAACGGAAUUCCUGGUGUAGCGGUGAAAUGCGCAGAUAUCAGGAGGAACACCGGUGGCGAAGGCGGGACUCUGGGCCGAUACUGACGCUGAGGAGCGAAAGCGUGGGGAUCAAACAGG
rnacentral:rRNA from 1 species